AGUGUUCUUGAGUUCUGGUUUCUCUCUCUGAUGCUGGCCCCUACAGGUUUGGCCCCUACUACACUGAGCCAGUCAUUGCCGGGUUGGACCCGAAGACCUUUAAGCCCUUCAUUUGCUCUCUAGACCUCAUCGGGUGCCCCAUGGUGACUGACGACUUUGUGGUCAGUGGCACCUGCGCCGAACAAAUGUACGGAAUGUGUGAGUCCCUCUGGGAGCCCAACAUGGAUCCGGAACACCUGUUUGAAACCAUCUCCCAAGCCAUGCUGAAUGCUGUGGACCGGGAUGCAGUGUCAGGCAUGGGAGUCAUUGUCCACAUCAUCGAGAAGGACAAAAUCACCACCAGGACACUGAAGGCCCGAAUGGACUAACCCUGUUCCCAGAGCCCACUUUUUUUUCUUUUUUUGAAAUAAAAUAGUCUGUCUUUCA
rnacentral:sRNA from 1 species